rnacentral:rRNA from 1 species
GACGUAGGGUGCGAGCGUUGUCCGGAAUUAUUGGGCGUAAAGGGCUCGUAGGCGGUCUGUCGCGUCGGGAGUGAAAACUCAGGGCUUAACCCUGAGCCUGCUUCCGAUACGGGCAGACUAGAGGUAUGCAGGGGAGAACGGAAUUCCUGGUGUAGCGGUGGAAUGCGCAGAUAUCAGGAGGAACACCGGUGGCGAAGGCGGUUCUCUGGGCAUUACCUGACGCUGAGGAGCGAAAGUGUGGGGAGCGAACAGG